AAUUGGAGGGCAAGUCUGGUGCCAGCAGCCGCGGUAAUUCCAGCUCCAAUAGCGUAUAUUAAAGUUGUUGCAGUUAAAAAGCUCGUAGUUGAAUUUCGGGAUCAAUAUUUCGGUCAUGCCGUUGGUAUGCACUGUUAUCAUUGAUUUCUCACCUUCUAAAGAACCGUAAUGCCAUUAAUUUGGUGUUACGGGGAAUUAGGACUGUUACCUUGAAAAAAUUAGAGUGUUUAAAGCAGGCUCACGCUUGAAUACAUUAGCAUGGAAUAAUGAAAUAGGACAUCCGAUUCUAUUUUGUUGGUUUCUAGGAUCGAUGUAAUGAUUAAUAGGGAUAGUUAGGGGCAUUAGUAUUCAAUUGUCAGAGGUGAAAUUCUUGGAUUUAUUGAAGACUAACUACUGCGAAAGCAUUUGCCAAGGAUGUUUUCAUUAAUCAAGAACGAAAGUUAGGGGAUCGAAGACGAUCAGAUACCGUCGUAGUCUUAACCAUAAACUAUGCCGACUAGGGAUCGGAUGAUGUUAAUUUUUUAAUGACUCAUUCGGCGCCUUACGGGAAACCAAAGUGU
rnacentral:rRNA from 1 species